GGCUUCACAGCUCAGUUGGUUGAGCAUCGCACUGGUAUUGCAGAGCUCACGGGUUUGAAUCCCGUUGAAGCCC
rnacentral:tRNA from 1 species